UCGUUUUUUCGUUUGUGAACGAUAUUGUCGCGUUAGAUAGGUUCGAUAAUUUUUAUGUCAUGUUUGUAGAUAAAUUGUUAGGGUUAGAUAGGCCGGUAUUUUCCUCUAGCUGCGAAAAAGUGGUGCUGAAUCCAGUCUCGGCGGGUUUGUUGUGAUCGGCAGCCAUCGCGGGAUGAUCAGUUUAGCCUCGAUCACGUUUGUGUCCCGUAGGAGCGAAGGUUGUUCCGCUCUUUUUUGAGACCAACGAAGGUUGUCCCGUUGGCCCGUGAAUUGAGUGCUUUUUUUGUGUUUGCUCGCCGGAGUGGGUAAGCUACACGAUUUGCUACCCCCGGCUAAGUAUCAAGGAGAGAAGACACCGCCCCGCUGAGGACCGAAGCAGCAGAAGGGUUCGGAUACUGCCGCUGCCGUGAUCUACCGGAGCAGCUUGGACAUCAACCGCUUUUGGGAAGUGCUGCCACCACAACAGCGUAGAGGAAAAUCCGGAAUAAAUCGCGAUAAGUGUUUUGUUUA